CAAAGGAAGAGGAAAGAUAGAUCCCAGGAGUGAAAUGUACAGAAAAAACAAAUGAGAAAGGAAAGAAAACUAGAAAUGUAAAAUGUUCAUAUCCCAAAGUUUUGCACACCAAAACCCUCCAUACAUUUGACUUUGAGCUCAACCCAUUUAAAAAAAAAAAUAUUGCUAUCAACUUGUAGAGCAGCUGUUUUGUGCAAUAUUUACUUAGUGACCUUAAAACUUCUUUUUCUUACCAAGAAAAGCUGGGAAGCAGAUACCCUGAGUGAAGUCUGGCUGAAAGCAUCUCAACAGGGCUCCCUUGGAGGUGAUGGAGAGUGGGAAAGAGUGAAAAAAAUUUUCUUCUUCCUUCUCCUGCCUCAUCCAAAAACAGAAGGGGAAAGGAACCUGCAACUGCCUGCAGCUUUAUGCCAAACAUGGAUAUACUGUGAAACAACAGGGAGAGGAGUACAUGAAGAAUACCAAUGAAGCAUAAAACAAUCCAAAGCAUUUAAAGGACUCUUUUUUUUUUUUUUUUUUUUAAAGAGAAUUUUUGAGUUACCCUGAAUUUCUACGUAACCAUCUUCCUUUGGGCUGGGAUUUUGUUUUUAAUUGCGUUGUCAUUGUUAAAAGAAUUUUGUUUACUGUGAUCUUUAAUACAUUCAAGAUGCCCUUGUCUAAUGCAAAAUAUUAUGUUCCUUAAUAGUUUUUUGUUAUGGUUGCUGUUAGGAGAAAAGAACCUUGAUAGAAUUAGGCAACAGACUGGGCAGAUAAUGUACCAUGUAGGUGACUUAGCACAUACAACAUGUGAUUUAAAUUUUGAACUUAUAGUCUGCUCUAAAAAAGAAACAAUGUACUAAAAUAAUUUCUUUCUGUAAUCAUUUAUUUGUCCAUUUCUUACUCAAAUGGAAGAAAAAUCAGUAAGUAAAUGUGUCAUAUUACUCCUUUCCUGGGAUGGAAAGUCACAUUGAUAAUUGGUUAGUUCAUUUCUAAGGGAUGCUGCGGCAGAUUUUCUGGAUUCUUUUUCCCCCUUGUAUUAUUGCUUCAGCAACUCUUUGCGAAGUUCAAUGAGGUUCAUUAGCUUAACUGAAGAAAAUGGAUCUGGUACUUUCAUGGCAGCUUCUUUCUGUGACUUUUCUAAUUAAAUCUCUUCCAUCAGACAAAAAACUGCCCUUUUUACUUGACAAACAUUUGUUCAAAUUUGGCCUUCGCUGUUUUUUUGGUGCUUGUACUGUCUCUCUCUUUCUCCCCCGCCCCCCAGCAGCAGCAGCUGUUAGUCACAGGACCACACUGUCUAACAUUUACUCUGAAUGUACUUGUGUAUUGAAAUAUUUCACUGUUAGGCAAGCUUAUCAGCUGAAAUAUACAAUAAAAAACUUCCAGUAUAUUGGGUAAACGACUUUCUAAAAAAUUUGCAUUUCUAGUGUGUUAGUGCACAACUGUUACUAUAUGUACUUGUAGAUAUAAAAUUAAAUUCACCUUCCCUGGAACGUUGUUUUGAAAGCUAAGUAAUCAAGCAUUAGUCAGGUGGGAAGUCCCAGUCCACAACCUAGUAAUACACUGUAUAUAAAAGAGACUGAAGUUUUAUAGGGACAGCAUAUUUGCCUACUCCUUUAUCAAUGCCCUCCAAAAAAUUGUCAGGACAUUGUCAACAUUUCAAGAGUUGUGCUUCAGAGUGGAUUAUCCUACGGGGAGAGGGAAGAAGGUUGAAGAAAAGUUUAAUUAAAACACUUUUUCACAAUGCUCAAAAAACCUUGGUAAAAGAUUUCUGUGGACAGGCAGAUCACUGAUUAAUUCUUCAGAUAUGUACUUUUCUCCUAUGUGAAGUAAUGUGAUAUGAGGUUAAGUGCUCAUUGAGGAACUAAGAGUUUGGCCUUUCAGUUUUCACAUUAGACUAUGGGAAGAUAUGCUCAGACUGUGACAAGCAUCGCUGUAUACAGUUUAUGCUGCUAUUCUUUAACACUCUCCAGUGUCAUUAGCUUGCCAGCCAUGUAGUCUGUAAGUAAUAGGUUGCAAUAGCAGCUAAAAUUGACAAGUGCUUAGCCCAGAGCAUGGAUUGAAUGUAAUUCAUAGGGUUCCUGAGUUAAUUUCCAAUACCUGUUUCAUCAAGGCAGACUGAUAGAUGGCUGCCAGCAUCUUCUGGCUUUAUCUGUAAAUCCCUGUGUCUUUUACUGCCAUCAUUCUGGAGUUGCUGUUAUUUUUUUCCCCUUCUCUUUCAUUCCCCUUCUCCAGCCCCCCUUUUCUUUCCAACCUUUUGUUCUCUUUCUUUCUUCUUCUGUCUUUUUUUUCUUUUUAGCAUUCUUUCCCUUACAUUUGCUCUUUCCUAUUUCCAUACCUCUAAAUGGAGCUUACUCUAUAGGCACAUCAUUCAUUUAGAUUAGAGGCCCUUGCAGCUAAAUGCAAGACCUUCAGAUGUUAUUGAAGUGCAUUUUUCCAUGUGGCCCUGUUUAAAGUGAUGUUUCUUUAGGGACUGCAGGGUGAAAUAUGAAGUUAUCUGGGAGAGUAAAUCUGAGAUGUUGGACAGAUGGUGAAGCGUCAGUGCAUCCACAGAAAUGCAUUUCAUUUUUAUAUAGGAGAUGCUUUCAAUCAGUUUCAGCCUGAGAAAACAGUUGCUCUUAUUGCAUCACUGGCAUUUCAUGUGAGGGUUUUUUUUUUCAGUUUGGUUUUUUUGUUUGGUUGGUUUUGGUUUUUAGAUAAAUUUUUAAGUCAAUAAAACCAUAACAAUUUUUUAAUGUAUUUAUGAAUGAUUUGGUUGUGCUUGGGAGAAGAAACACAAUUCAGGAUACCGAAAUCGACAGGAGAAAAGCAAGAAAAUAUUGGAAAAGAAAUAAAUAUUGUCCAAAGAGGUCACAAAAAACUGUUUGGUAAAAAAUACACCCAUUUACUGUGGAUUAUGCAAAUUAAUUUCUCACAUCAGCUAUAUUUCAGAAAUAUGACCUGAUGCAAAUUUUGUUAUUUAAACUGUGCAGAGUAACAGUUAUUCCCAUAGACCUCAUAGGUGCACUGCCAAUUUUAAAAGUGAUUCUGGAGUAUGUCCUCGUGUAACAGAGGAACUAUUUUUUGAACAUUUGAGAAUCUUUUUAAACAAUGGCUACAAAUAGUAUGCAAGGACACCGAUAAAGUCUCGUUCUAUCUAGGCAUAAUCACUUGUGUUGUGUUGGCCAGAUAAGGUUUUUGUGUUCUUUACUAAAGGAAAUCUCUAAUUUGCAGAUAAAUGUUUCUUCAAUUUAAUUUCAUUUUUUAUUAGCUUUUAUUCAAACUAUAGGCAGUUCUCUGCUCCUUAUUUUGUGCAGCUAUAAAAUCACAUGGAAGAAUCUUCUAAACAACUUUUGAAAAGAGUUGACAGUCAAAAGUAUACAAUCUUUGCUUUCCAUUAUGUCUUGGAACUAGCUGGUAUAAAUCUGUGUUGCCAUUAAAGCAUACCCAUUUGUUCAUUUUUAGUUUGCUUGGCUUUUUUUUUUGGUUUGUCUGUUUAUUUGUUUUUUGGUUUUGUGGUUUUGGAGUUUAUUGCUGUUGUGGUGGUUUGGGGUUUUUUUAAAUGAAAAGGAUGGAGGCAUGCCAUCAAAUUUCCCUGUUGUGUUUCCCCAAUGACAGCAUAUAAUACCUUCAGUGUAUGUUAUUGCAAGUCUGAGUGAUCUACUAGAUUUCUCUGCUCUCCUGGAGAAAUCAGUACUUACAGGACCCUUUUGAGAGUCAUGUCAAUAAAGAAAGAGUUGUAGGAAGAACGAAAAAAAAAUCAGCAGAAAUAGUAACGCACAGGGCACAAACAGCCAGAGUGCCAGCCUCUGGGGUGGUCACCAUUGCUGGAUUUGUAGCUGCUAACAACAGUGGGGUAAAUAUGUCAUUAAAAAUAUAUUUACCAAGAAUACAAGCCAUAUCAACACUAGGGAUUUCUUAAAAUAGAAAUAUAUUUUAGGGAACUCUUUAAAUUCUGUAGUUUCUGUAAGUCUGCCUGAUUUUUAGCUAAACCCUUCCUUGUGGAACCUGUUAGGUUUUGUUCAGUGUUUCUAAGAAAUAGCAGCAUGUCUGCAUGUCUGCAUGUCUUAUGAUUAGUUUGCCACUAGCUCUUAACCUCUAUUUUUUUUUUACAAGAAAAAAGUUUUUAUUUCCAUUCAUUUUUUGGGAAUAUGACCUGUUUCAGGACACGAUACAUCAUAGAAAUGGCAUAAACUUAGCUUGCUAACCUAUUUAGAACAUGUUAUUCUAAGCUUAUGAUACCUAACACAAGGUCAAGGAGUUUAGUUUCUUUCCGUCAAGUGAACAGCGAUGAGAAAAACACAGCCUUCCCCAUUGCUUAUCUGGGUUGAACCUUCUCAUUCAUUUUGUACUUACCUUCAG